rnacentral:rRNA from 1 species
AAAUUGAAAGGCGGCUUCGGCUGUCACUUAUGGAUGGACCCGCGUCGCAUUAGCUAGUUGGUGAGGUAACGGCUCACCAAGGCAACGAUGCGUAGCCGACCUGAGAGGGUGAUCGGCCACACUGGGACUGAGACACGGCCCAGACUCCUACGGGAGGCAGCAGUAGGGAAUCUUCCGCAAUGGACGAAAGUCUGACGGAGCAACGCCGCGUGAGUGAUGAAGGCUUUCGGGUCGUAAAACUCUGUUGUUAGGGAAGAACAAGUGCUAGUUGAAUAAGCUGGCACCUUGACGGUACCUAACCAGAAAGCCACGGCUAACUACGUGCCAGCAGCCGCGGUAAUACGUAGGUGGCAAGCGUUAUCCGGAAUUAUUGGGCGUAAAGCGCGCGCAGGUGGUUUCUUAAGUCUGAUGUGAAAGCCCACGGCUCAACCGUGGAGGGUCAUUGGAAACUGGGAGACUUGAGUGCAGAAGAGGAAAGUGGAAUUCCAUGUGUAGCGGUGAAAUGCGUAGAGAUAUGGAGGAACACCAGUGGCGAAGGCGACUU